rnacentral:rRNA from 1 species
AACGAACGCUGGCGGCAUGCCUAACACAUGCAAGUCGAACGCGUGUAGCAAUACACGAGUGGCGGACGGGUGAGUAACGCGUGGGAACCUGCCCAAUGGUAGGGAAUAACUGCGGGAAACUGCAGCUAAUACCCUAUGCUCCCUACGGGGGAAAGAUUUAUCGCCAUUGGAGGGGCCCGCGUCGGAUUAGCUAGUUGGCGGGGUAACGGCCCACCAAGGCUACGAUCCGUAGCUGGUCUGAGAGGAUGAUCAGCCACACUGGGACUGAGAUACGGCCCAGACUCCUACGGGAGGCAGCAGUGGGGAAUAUUGGACAAUGGGGGAAACCCGUGAUCCAGCAAUGCCGCGUGAGUGAAGAAGGCCUUAGGGUUGUAAAGCUCUUUCGGCGGGACGAUGGUGACGGUACCCGCAGAAGAAGCCCCGCUAACUUCGUGCC